AAUAAGCGGAGGAAAAGAAACCAACAGGGAUUCCCUUAGUAACGGCGAGUGAACCGGGAAAAGCUCAAAUUUGAAAUCUGCCAACAGGCCGAGUUGUAAUUUGUAGAUGGCUACACUGCAUAAUAGUAGAUGCUCAAGUUCUUUGGAAAAAGACAUCAUGGAGGGUGACAAUCCCGUGAGGCAUGUUACUAGGAGCAUAUAGUGGGCUUUCUAAGAGUCGAGUUGUUUGGGAAUGCAGCUCAAAGUGCGUGGUGAAUACCAUGUAAAGCUAAAUAUGGACGAGAGACCGAUAGCGAACAAGUACUGUGAAGGAAAGAUGAAAAGCACUCCGAAAGGAGAGUGAAAUAGUACGUGAAAUUGUUAAAGUGGAAGGGCUUGAGAUCAGAAUUGGUAGUUUGGGUUCCACGUCCUCUUGGGGGCGUGUACUCCCUUUCCACCGGGCCAGCGGGAGUUUCGUCUCUUGGGUAAAAGCAGUGGAAUGUAGCAGCUUGUCUGUAUUAUAGCCUCUGUUCAUACAAGACGUCGAGACUUGA
rnacentral:rRNA from 1 species